rnacentral:tRNA from 1 species
GGCGGCGUAGCUCAGUCGGUAGAGCAGACGGCUCAUAUCCGUUAUGUCGGGGGUUCAAUUCCCUCCGCCGCUA